rnacentral:rRNA from 1 species
CCUACGGGUGGCUGCAGUGGGGAAUAUUGGACAAUGGGGGCAACCCUGAUCCAGCCAUGCCGCGUGUGUGAAGAAGGCCCUCGGGUUGUAAAGCACUUUCAGUGAGGAAGAACGCCUGGUGGUUAAUACCCAUCAGGAAAGACAUCACUCACAGAAGAAGCACCGGCUAACUCCGUGCCAGCAGCCGCGGUAAUACGGAGGGUGCGAGCGUUAAUCGGAAUUACUGGGCGUAAAGCGCGCGUAGGUGGCUUGAUAAGCCAGUUGUGAAAGCCCCGGGCUCAACCUGGGAACGGCAUCCGGAACUGUCAAGCUAGAGUGCAGGAGAGGAAGGUAGAAUUCCCGGUGUAGCGGUGAAAUGCGUAGAGAUCGGGAGGAAUACCAGUGGCGAAGGCGGCCUUCUGGACUGACACUGACACUGAGGUGCGAAAGCGUGGGUAGCAAACAGGAUUAGAUACCCUUGUAGUC